AGUGAACGCUGGCGGCGUGCUUAACACAUGCAAGUCGAACGAGAACGGAUUAUAGCUUGCUAUAAUUGUCAGCUAAGUGGCGCACGGGUGAGUAAUGUAUAGGUAAUAUGCCUCUUACUAAGGGAUAACAAAUGGAAACGUUUGCUAAUACCUUAUACUCCUUAUUAACAGAAGUUAAUAAGGGAAAGAUUUAUUGGUAAGAGAUUAGCCUGUAUUGUAUCAGCUAGUUGGUGAGGUAACGGCUCACCAAGGCGACGACGGGUAGCCGGCCUGAGAGGGUGACCGGCCACACUGGGACUGAGACACGGCCCAGACUCCUACGGAGGCAGCAGUGGGGAAUAUUGCACAAUGGGCGCAAGCCUGAUGCAGCAACGCCGCGUGAGGGAUGACGG
rnacentral:rRNA from 1 species